UGUAUAUAAGUAGCUUAAUUUCUUCUAGCUUCCUCGUUAAUCUUUUCAAACAAUUUUUAGUGUAUCACCCUAGCUAGAAAGGCAAAGCAAGAAGAUAAUGAGGCCUGCAACCUUUGGGGUGAUACUCCUUUUGAUGUUGAGCGUAUCAAUGUGCAUGGGCAGAGACAAGAAGACCUUCAAGGAUCAAAUGAAUGUAAGGAACGAGAAGUUUCCAAACCAUGAAAAUGAAAACCACAACCCGGGUUUUGCGUAUGGUGGACGCAGUGUGAAUAAUCAUCAUUACAUCCCCAGGCAGGACUUCAACAACAAUGAUGGUGCUGAUAAAAUUGGGAAUGGAAGUGGAUAUUGAUAAAAUUUUAUGUUGUUAUAGAGUAUGUUCUUGUUUGAGGCAGAAGACCCGAUAUGGUUCAUUCAGGUCUAUAAAUUAAAUAAAAGGUACUCAGAGCCUGUGCAGCUACAGGCCUAUGAUGUGUAUAUAGUGAAAUAUGUAUAAAUUGUACACACACUCGUGGAUUGUGAAAUGUGGACAUAAGCAAUACACCCAAAAA